UUUUGUCUUCGAAUCCUCAAGAAAAUGAUUGUUCAACUUGAUGGAAUGAAGCAACAAGAUUUUCUAUUCAAGAACAGUAGAAGCCUUUAUCCAGAUACUGAGUGCCUAAAUUCUUGAUGAAGAUGUCAGGAAUUGGAAGAAGAAGAAAGCAUACGGAGACUAGGAGAUGCUAUUACCAGAAGGGACUUUGUUGCAAAUAUUGUGGGUUCUAUUGUAAAUAUGUAAAAU